rnacentral:rRNA from 1 species
CGCUGGCGGCGUGCUUAACACGUGCGAGUCGAGCGAGGAGGCCGAGCUUGCUAGGUGGAUUAGUGGCGAACGGGGGAGUAAUACGUGAGUAACCUACCUUUAACUCUGGGAUAAGCCUGGGAAACUGGGUCUAAUACCGGAUACGACCAAUCUCCGCAUGGGGUGUUGGUGGAAAGCGUUAUGUAGUGGUUAUAGAUGGGCUCACGGCCUAUCAGCUUGUUGGUGAGGUAACGGCUCACCAAGGCGACGACGGGUAGCCGGCCUGAGAGGGUGACCGGCCACACUGGGACUGAGACACGGCCCAGACUCCUACGGGAGGCAGCAGUGGGGAAUAUUGCACAAUGGGCGCAAGCCUGAUGCAGCGACGCCGCGUGAGGGAUGACGGCCUUCGGGUUGUAAACCUCUGUUAGCAGGGAAGAAGAGAAAUUGACGGUACCUGCAGAGAAAGCGCCGGCUAACUACGUGCCAGCAGCCGCGGUAAUACGUAGGGCGCGAGCGUUGUCCGGAAUUAUUGGGCGUAAAGAGCUUGUAGGCGGUUUGUCGCGUCUGCUGUGAAGGCCGGGGCUUAACCCCGUGUAUUGCAGUGGGUACGGGCAGACUAGAGUGCAGUAGGGGAGACUGGAACUCCUGGUGUGGCGGUGGAAUGCGCAGAUAUCAGGAAGAACACCGAUGGCGAAGGCAGGUCUCUGGGCUGUAACUGACGCUGAGAAGCGAAAGCAUGGGGAGCGAACAGGAUUAGAUACCCUGGUAGUCCAUGCCGUAAACGUUGGGCACUAGGUGUGGGGGACAUUCCACGUUUUCCGCGCCGUAGCUAACGCAUUAAGUGCCCCGCCUGGGGAGUACGGCCGCAAGGCUAAAACUCAAAGAAAUUGACGGGGGCCCGCACAAGCGGCGGAGCAUGCGGAUUAAUUCGAUGCAACGCGAAGAACCUUACCAAGGCUUGACAUAUACUGGACCGCAUCAGAGAUGGUGUUUCCCUUCGGGGCUGGUAUACAGGUGGUGCAUGGUUGUCGUCAGCUCGUGUCGUGAGAUGUUGGGUUAAGUCCCGCAACGAGCGCAACCCUCGUUCUAUGUUGCCAGCACGUUAUGGUGGGGACUCAUAGGAGACUGCCGGGGUCAACUCGGAGGAAGGUGGGGAUGACGUCAAAUCAUCAUGCCCCUUAUGUCUUGGGCUUCACGCAUGCUACAAUGGCCGGUACAGAGGGUUGCGAUACUGUGAGGUGGAGCUAAUCCCUAAAAGCCGGUCUCAGUUCGGAUUGGGGUCUGCAACUCGACCCCAUGAAGUCGGAGUCGCUAGUAAUCGCAGAUCAGCAACGCUGCGGUGAAUACGUUCCCGGGCCU